CAGGGUAGAGGCCCGCGGAGGUGGCGAGGACUCCAGGAGCCCAGGCACCGUGCGAGUGGGAGCUGUUACCUUGCCCGCUUGGGUGGCGGCCGCCAGGCACGGGGAAAGAAGAGAGGAGGAUCAGGGAGCAGCCUGAAAGGCACUGAAGAAAACAGAACAGAUGACUCGGAAGUCACCGUGCCGCAGGGAGGAGAAUUGGCGUGACCAUUCCAGAUACUUCCAUACAUCCAGCUUUAGCAGCAUCUAAAACUGGCACCGCAAAAUAUGUACCAUGGUCACGUCAGAUGGUAACAUUAGGGGAAGCUGGAUGAAGACUCUACAGGAACUCUCACCUAGGACUGGGGGUUGGGGUGAAGAUAGGAGGAAGGAUUGAUAUAAAGGGGCAUGAGGAAACUUUUUGGGGUGAUAGGAAUGUCAUAUGUUUUGUUUGUGGUAGUGGCUACAUAGAUACGUACAUUUGUCAAAACUUAUCAGACGGUACAUUUAAAGUAAGUAAUUUUAUCGUAUGUAAAUUACGCCUCUAGGAAGUAGUUUUGUUUCUUUUUUUAGUUUUAAUCAAAAUAUUUGGCCUGCCCUGUGCCCCAGCUCUCUCUCACACACAUCACACUACUUUCUUUUCUUGAUGGCAUCUACCUCUUUCUGAGAUUACCUUGUUUAUUUGUUUCCUUUUUUUUUCUUUUGUCUACCUCUCCACACUAGAAUGCGAGUCUUGGCCACUUCUGGUAGGGUAACCCAAUAACGGGCAACUCUCCCCACCUUGAGAGGGAGAUAGAAGUCGGGCAGAUGGAAGCUCACGCAUUCCUUUAUCCCAGACCCAGCCCUCCCAAAGGAGAAACCCCUGCCAUUAAUCCCAAGCUGAGCCCUCUUUGGCCCCCUGCAGAGGAUGAAAGAAGAGACCUGAAUCUCCUGGUGCCUCUGGACUACAGUAAUGCCCAAUGACUCGAGUGUCCUUUCAGGAUUUCUAACUGUAAACCAAGGGUGAUAAUUUUCCACUGGGAACCUGACUUAGCCCAGGUCCAGGGUCGCUGCGGCUUUCCCACCAUGGCAGCCCGUCCUGGGACUUUGCAGCCCACCCGCCUGCCCACCCCCGAGGAACAGAACGUCUUAGUCCUUCUGAGUUUCUGUUUUUUCCCCACAUCUUAAAAAACGGUGGUGGGAACAGAACACUUCAUACAAAGGAGGUCCUGAAAUGCCCUUUUGUGCUGCGUCCUUGCCAGGAAGCAGCUCAGGGUUCCCGGAAAGAGAAAGACUUGGACAAAAGCUGGCAGCCUACGUUUUUUCUAUUCUCUCAAGACCGUGGAGGUCAGGCCCGCUUUCAUUAGCCACUG